GACGAACGCUGGCGGCGUGCUUAACACAUGCAAGUCGAACGGAAGGGCCCUGCUUUUGUGGGGUGCUCGAGUGGCGAACGGGUGAGUAACACGUGAGUAACCUGCCCUUGACUUUGGGAUAACUUCAGGAAACUGGGGCUAAUACCGGAUAGGAGCUCCUGCUGCAUGGUGGGGGUUGGAAAGUUUCGGCGGUUGGGGAUGGACUCGCGGCUUAUCAGCUUGUUGGUGGGGUAGUGGCUUACCAAGGCUUUGACGGGUAGCCGGCCUGAGAGGGUGACCGGCCACAUUGGGACUGAGGUACGGCCCAGACUCCUACGGGAGGCAGCAGUGGGGAAUAUUGCACAGUGGGCGGAAGCCUGAUGCGGCAACGCCGCGUGCGGGAUGACGGCCUUCGGGUUGUAAACCGCUUUCGCCUGUGACGAAGCGUGAGUGACGGUAAUGGGUAAAGAAGCACCGGCUAACUACGUG
rnacentral:rRNA from 1 species